AGGGAGGGAAGGAGGGAAGAAGGAAGGAAGGAAGGAAGGAAGAAAGGUGCCAUGUAGCUCAGGCUGACAACCAGGACGUGCGAACGCAGUGCCCUUCCAAGUGGAGGUAAAGUCCCUACAAAAAUAAUCUGUCUGCUUGCAGCCCAGUUCUUUCCAGAGUUCCCACCCCCCACCCCAACUCCCUUUUAUAUAAACUUCCCAGAGGGACACCUUUGGUGUCCUGGGAAAGCCCCUUUCCUAUGCCAAAUGCAGCUUCUCUGAUUGCUCUUACGAUACUGUUUUCAAAGCUGACAUUUCUGUACAUAGUUACCCUUUCUUUCCUCCCCUUUUGCCAGCUUUUAGUCCAAUAUGCCAAUUGUCCUACACUUCCAUGACUUCAGACCUUAAACAUUUUAACCAACAGUGGAGAAUUCUGUAACACACUUUCUGCAAAACCCGGUCUAUA